CUUGACUUUUCCAUUUCGCGCGCCUACACGCCCAGAAUAGACCCCCCAACUACCUAUUAGUGAGAUUGUGUCUCACCUCGAGAAAAUACUGAAUCAUUCAAUGUCGUAUUUCAAUGCAAUCGGGUGAUCCCAGAUUGGGGGCUGAUUGAUGUGGCCAGGUAUAUGUCGGUUGAUAUUAAGGGGAAAGAAAUGAAGCUUAUCUGUGGAGGCAAACUUAAUGAGACAGAAGGAUUUAGACUCUUUUUAUCUUUUUGUUUUUAAUAGGUGUGGGAUGUAGUUCUGAGGGCCUAUCGCCGACGUCGAAAAAAGGAAAAUGAUUA